GACGAACGCUGGCGGCGUGCUUAACACAUGCAAGUCGAACGGAAAGGCCCUGCUUUUGUGGGGUGCUCGAGUGGCGAACGGGUGAGUAACACGUGAGUAACCUGCCCUUGACUUUGGGAUAACUUCAGGAAACUGGGGCUAAUACCGGAUAGGAGCUCCUGCUGCAUGGUGGGGGUUGGAAAGUUUCGGCGGUUGGGGAUGGACUCGCGGCUUAUCAGCUUGUUGGUGGGGUAGUGGCUUACCAAGGCUUUGACGGGUAGCCGGCCUGAGAGGGUGACCGGCGACAUUGGGACUGAGAUACGGCCCAGACUCCUACGGGAGGCAGUAGUGGGGAAUAUUGCACAAUGGGCGGAAGCCUGAUGCAGCAACGCCGCGUGCGGGAUGACGGCCUUCGGGUUGUAAACCGCUUUCGACUGUGACGAAGCGUGAGUGACGGUAAUGGGUAAAGAAGCACCGGCUAACUACGUG
rnacentral:rRNA from 1 species